GACGAACGCUGGCGGCGUGCUUAACACAUGCAAGUCGAACGGUAAGGCCCUUCGGGGUACACGAGUGGCGAACGGGUGAGUAACACGUGGGUGAUCUGCCCUGCACUUCGGGAUAAGCCUGGGAAACUGGGUCUAAUACCGGAUAGGACCACUGCCUGCAGGGGUGGUGGUGGAAAGCUUUUGCGGUGUGGGAUGGGCCCGCGGCCUAUCAGCUUGUUGGUGGGGUGAUGGCCUACCAAGGCGACGACGGGUAGCCGGCCUGUGAGGGUGACCGGCAACACUGGGGCUGAGAUACGGCCCAGACUCCUACGGGAGGCAGCAGUGGGGAAUAUUGCACAAUGGGCGCAAGCCUGAUGCAGCGACGCCGCGUGAGGGAUGACGGCCUUCGGGUUGUAAACCUCUUUCAGCACCGACGACGCGCAAGUGACGGUAGGUGCAGAAGAAGGACCGGCCAACUACGUGCCAGCCGCCGCUGUAA
rnacentral:rRNA from 1 species